UUAAGCCCAGGGCUGGACAUCUUAAUUUUUCUGUCAGUGUUCCUCUUGCCCUUUUCUGGACUGCAACCAGGGGCUCCCAUGGCCUCUAACUGGGUUUGGCCAGCGGGAGGUCCCAGCAGGAGCUCAUAGGGAGGGUGAAAGAGAGGGCAUGGGGUACUUGUUGCUGUCCUCUGCCCCUGCAGGGGUGGCCUCAGUCCCCUCUUGUAGUAUCUCUGCUACACUCUCUCUCAGAGCUGUGCCCAUGGGGCACUGCGGAGCCCACUGUGCUGCCCACACCUUUGUUACACCCUCUUCAGUGAUGCUGGUGGAGUGGCCCACCUGUGACAUGCUGGGACCCUGCCGGAUUCAAGCAUGGGCCAUGUGAGCCCAGAUGGCAAACGAUGAUCCCUGCCCUGGAGAAGCUCCUGAGAGGUUAUGGGUCCAGUUCAUUCUACAGGAAGUGUCAGGAAGUGUCUCCCUCAGCAGCCAUUAGCCUGGGAGACCUAGAAAGACUCCCCAAGGAGAUUCCUGGAAGCCAGAAAAUUAGCUGGCCAAGCGACAUCCUAAAGUGGGAGUGCCUUUCAUCCUAGCCAAAGCCAGAGAUGACAUUGAGUGGGAUGGACUGAGACCCACUAACAGUUUGGGGGCCCUAGAGGCCAGUGAGGCUGCACCAGGCCUGAGACCCAGACCUCACAACCUGGCUUUAAAUGCCCAGAGGCUCCUCAUCCCAAAUUGCAUCUGUCAGGAUUGACAGGGCUGCUGUGCGGAGGACCCCUCUACUUGGCGGCGUGAGGGCAGGCAGGCAGCUUUUGAGGAGAAAGACCCAUUAGCACAGUCUAGAUUUCACUCUGAAGACCCCCCCGGUGAUACCCGGACCCGAGGAAGGUGACCCCCUGGAGCAAAGCAGAGCAAAGUUGCCUGAUGGAGAGCCAGAGUCCUCAACAGAGGUCUUGAGCAUGCUUCUGUUCCUGGGUGCCACACAUGGAGUUGUGCCUGUGGAAUUACGAGUCUGACUCCAGGGGUUGGGGACAGUGCUGUCUUCUGGAAAUACUGCCUGAGCCCAGCUGUUUUGCUUUUGUCCCCUCGGGAGCUCCUCAAAGACAGGAGCAGAGUUUGGCACACAGGGUGAUUGCAUAUCAUCAGCCGGGAAACUCCUCAAGGGCAGAGGCCAAGGCUUCUGCCUCUCAGGAAACCCUGGCCCCCUGCUGCUGUCUCUGCCUCUCCAACACAUGUGGGCACACUAAUACACACACACAUCCACGUUCAUAUGCACGAACUCACUCUCCCAUGAAUCACACACAUGUAUUCACUACUUAGAGCUGCCCCCUGCCCCGUCUCUCGAGCAGAACCCCUUCAGGCCCAGGGCCUGUGCUAUGGCAUUGCUCCAGUGUGGCUCACAGAGGCAAGGCAGGGACUCUGCUCACGGUGUUCUCAUUUGUCCACGGCAGAUUUAGGCUUCAAGCCCAGGGGGUUUUGCAGGCUUUGGGUGAGCCUUGGUCUCUGCCCUUGAGAGGGUCCCAGUUGCCUAAGGAUCUUGGCCGGAAGGAAGGAGGCCAAGGGCAGGGACACAGAGCAGCGCCUACCACUUGGCACCGGUGAUUUCAUUCUUUUCACAGCAAUCUUUUGAGGCAGGGAUGACUUCACUUUGUAAAGUGGAAACUGAGGCUCAUGCUAAUUAAGUGCUUGCAGAGAGGGGUAGAGCCAGGAUUUGGCUAGGUCUGCCUCCAGAGGUCAUCACAGCAGUAAAAACUGCUGGGAAGGAAGAGGCUUCAUGGUACCCACCUUGUCUUUUUUGAGCAUGUAGCAUGGUAUUUUGCAAAGGCACAAACGUUCACACAAGUCACUGCUUCUUAGCUUUUGAGGCCCUCUGAAAACCAGAAAACCUGUGAGGGUUAUUGGCUCCUCUCCCCAGAAUAGUCCAUACACACAGAGGCAUGCAUGGAUAAACUGGGGUAUGAUUUCAGGGGUUCAAGGCCUCCCAAGACCUCCAGUGGCUCCCAGGUUGAGACCUCCCCUUAGAUGUGUUUGUAAGUGGUGUGAGAGACAAGAAGAGGUGGUGUCCCUGCCCUAUACAGGGCACUGUGCUCAAGGGGGUCUGUACAAAGAUGUUCAUCUCAGCCCUGUUUUUAGUAAUGAAAAUUGGGAAUAAUUUGAACAGCUAUUAGGAGGGGCUGAUUUGAUCAGUAAAGCCUAUCCAGACACAAUGAUCCCAAGAAAGGAUGGCAUAAGUAUAAAUAGACGUGGCUCUCCAAGACAUACUGUUGAGUAGGGGAAAGCAUGUUGAAGAAUGACAUACACACACGCAUCAUUUAUGUAAAAUAAAAGCACUCAACAAUAUUAUUUAUUUCUGCACAUGUGGAAAAAUGUGUGUUGAAUGCACAGAAAAAGGAUUGAGAUCAUA